rnacentral:rRNA from 1 species
CCGUGACGUCGUGAGAAGUCCACUGAACCUUAUCAUUUAGAGGAAGGAGAAGUCNUAACAAGGUUUCCGUAGGUGAACCUGCGGAAGGAUCAUUGUCGAGACCCUGCCCAGCAGAAGGACCGGCGAAC